rnacentral:rRNA from 1 species
GGGGGGGGGGGGGGGGGGGGGGGGGGGGUGGGGGGCGGGGGGAGAGGCGGGGGGCUUGCUGCUGGGACGUUGGCGGCGGGCGGGUGAGUAGCACGUGGAUAACCUACGUGUAAGACGGGGAUAACUUCGGGGAACCGGAGCUCAUACCGGAUAAUAUAUUGAACCGCAUGGUUCAAUAGUGAAAGACGGUGUUGCUGUCACUUAUAGAUGGAUCCGCGCGGCAUUAGCUAGUUGGUAAGGUAACGGCUUACCAAGGCAACGAUGCGUAGCCGACCUGAGAGGGUGAUCGGCCACCCUGGAACUGAGACACGGUCCAGACUCCUACGGGAGGCAGCAGUAGGGAAUCUUCCGCAAUGGGCGAAAGCCUGACGGAGCAACGCCGCGUGAGUGAUGAAGGUCUUCGGAUCGUAAAACUCUGUUAUUAGGGAAGAACAAAUGUGUAAGUAACUAUGCACGUCUUGACGGUACCUAAUCAGAAAGCCACGGCUAACUACGUG